GACCACCAUUUUAGAAUGCUCACCUAUGAAAGCUGUAACCCAAUCUACAGUACUGUUUGUCUCUCAAAUGCCUCAUGACAGUGGAUGCGCCCUCCCUCGCAAGACUCCAAAUAUUUCGCAACAGAAGACACCCACUUCUCUCUCAUGAAUCCAAUCUAUCAUUAUGGCCGAAUCACCCUCUACAAAAAUAGAAUUAGUCUCUAAAAUACACU
rnacentral:lncRNA from 1 species